CUUUAGGUACUUGCAAAGACUUAUAUUUCUUACACUUGUGGGGUAUGUCUUUCUCAGAUUUCUUAAGUGUCCAUAUAUAAAAAGGCAAGAGGUAGAUAAAACCCAAUAGGGGAGUAUGUCAAUAAUUCAAUUCAGUUGAUAUAAUAGCGGUGUUACACUUACAUUUAUUAGAGCUAUGGCCAGCUCUAGUUUAUAAUGCGUACACUGGUACAAUUCCCACUUGUAGGAUAU